UACGUAGGAGGCAAGCGUUAUCCGGAUUUAUUGGGCGUAAAGGGCUUGUAGGUGGCCAGUAAAGUCUCUUGUGAAAUCUCCCGGCUCAACCGGGAGGGGUCAAGAGAUACUCACUGGCUUGAGGGAAGCAGAGGAGAAUGGAAUUCCCGGUGUAGUGGUGAAAUGCGUAGAUAUCGGGAGGAACACCAGUGGCGAAAGCGAUUCUCUGGGCUUAACCUGACACUGAGGAGCGAAAGCGUGGGGAGCAAACCGG
rnacentral:rRNA from 1 species